rnacentral:rRNA from 1 species
UACGAAGGGAGCUAGCGUUGUUCGGAAUUACUGGGCGUAAAGGGCGCGUAGCGGCGCCAUAAGUCAGAUGUGAAAGCCCCGGGCUUAACCUGGGAGUGCAUUUGAUACUGUGGGGCUAGAGAUCGAGAGAGGAAAGUGGAAUUACGAGUGUAGAGGUGAAAUUCGUAGAUAUCGUAAGAACACCAGUGGCGAAGGCGACAUUCUGCUCGAUACUGACGCUAAGGCGCGAAAAGCGUGGGGAGCAAACAGG